CCGACUUUAGCUCAGUUGGAAGAGCACAAGACUGUAAUUGGUAGCAACGUUCAUCUUGGGGUCGCCUGUUCGAACCAGGCAAGUCGGA